ACCACCUUGCCUCUUCUUUUUUUGGUCAACCACCUUGCCUCUUCAGAUCAUACCUCUCUGGACCAUUCCUGUGUAACGUCUGCAGUAAUCAAAUCUUCUUCCAUAUUAAACCAAGCUUUUAUGUUGUUUUCACUACGCCUCCCACUCUGUCACAUCAAAUCACCCUCAUCAUUCUCUAAGGUAACGGAUUGAAGCUCCGCCUAUAAAUUUUUUUCCUACCUGUGAUGAACAUCCUCAUCUCUUUCAAGCACCAACUCCAACAAUAGUGAAUUUGUACACCCUUCUUGGGUUCUUGGUCGAUGAUUCUCAGAAGAAUAAUCGGUUUCAGGUUUCGAACAUUAAGAAACCAUUGUUCUUCUACGUCAAUCUCGCUAAGAGGUAUAUGCAGCAAUACAAUGAUGUUCAACUGUCUUCCCUUGGGAUGAGCAUGCAUGUUCUUAAUCUCUCUCUCCUAUACAUUCUUCUUUGUAUUGAGACUGUUAUAGCCUUUACUGUUUGUCUCUUCAAUAUGAAAAUGUGCAGCUAUUUAAAUGUUGUUACUAUUGCUGAAUUACUGAAGAACACUGGUUGUACUGUUGACAAGAGUAACUAUCUCUAUAGAAUCUGAAUUCAACAUAUUACAUAUUAUAAAUUACAGGUUUAGGCAACUAAGCUCUGUUUUCUGGAAUAUGGUUUGUUCAUGUUAAUAAAAAUUAUGACUUCAACGGUGGAUAUUAUGGGUGACUUAAGGGGUCGCCAUCUGCCGAAAGCUAAGAUUGUAUCUGACCAAAGAACCUGAAUUGCCUGAAGCAACACAGCAAAAUCUGCAGCUAUUUGAGUAUCAAAAGUAACUAUUUCAUUUUCUUUUGGAGUUUCCAAGUGUCAUGGAAAAGAAAAUUAUAUAUACAAUCUAUAGCCAUAUCUAAACCCGAAAAUUGAGUCUGUGAACUAAGUGAGCUUUGUUGUAUAUAUUGUUGUCAUUGACUCGAGUGUAGUUAAUGAUCCAAGUUUUGUUACUCUGUGUAAAUUUGAUUCGUACCAUGUAGACAAAUGUUUAGCCUUUAGUUUCAUCUACUAAUU